rnacentral:rRNA from 1 species
GUCUAUGGCCAUACCACCCUGAAUGUGUCCGAUCUCGUCUGAUCUCGGAAGCUAAGCAGGGUUGGGCCUGGUUAGUACCUGGAUGGGAGACCGCCUGGGAAUACCGGGUGCUGUAGGCU